UACGGAGGGUGCAAGCGUUAUCCGGAUUCACUGGGUUUAAAGGGUGCGUAGGUGGGCACGUAAGUCAGUGGUGAAAUCUCCGGGCUUAACCCGGAAGCUGCCAUUGAUACUAUUUGUCUUGAAUACUGUGGAGGUCAGCGGAAUAUGUCAUGUAGCGGUGAAAUGCUUAGAUAUGACAUAGAACACCAAUUGCGAAGGCAGCUGGCUACACAAAUAUUGACACUGAGGCACGAAAGCGUGGGGAUCAAACAGG
rnacentral:rRNA from 1 species